UGUUAUUGUUGUUGUUGUUGUUGUUGUUGUUGUUGUUGAGAUUUAAUGUUUAGCGAUUUUAUUGAUUAUAUUUUUGUUGUUGUUAUUUUUUUUUAUUGUUGUCGUUUUUAUUUUUAGUUGUUGUUGAGAUUUAAUAUUUAAUGAUUAUAUUGAUUUUUAUUUUUUGUUGUUUUGUUGUUGAGAUUAAAUGUUUAAUGAUUCUAUUGAUUUGGUUUUAUAGUAGUGGUAGUUGUUGUUGUUAGUGUUGUUGCUGGUGGUUGUGGGGAUGGUGUUGUUGUUAUUAUUAUUAUUGUUGAUGUACUACUGCUAUAGAUGUUGUUGUUUUUGUUGUUGUUGUUGUUGUUGCUGAUGUGCUACUGCUAUAGAUGUUGUUGUUUUUAUUGUUGUUGUUGUUGUUGAUGGUGUUGUUGUUGCUGUCAUUGUUGUUGCCG
rnacentral:lncRNA from 1 species